rnacentral:lncRNA from 1 species
UCUUAUCAUGAUCAAAUGAGCCACUAGCACCUUGAAAUGCCCUAAUCCUUACAAGUUUAUAUUGUAACUCCCUUAUGUCACAAUCCAUUUUGUUUGUGGUUACAAAUUCACCAUGAAACCAAUGAUCAUAGAUUUCUCCAGGUUCUAUAAAAGCUACGAAUAGUUGUUUGUUGUUCAAUUUACAAAAGACAUUGACUUGCUUUCCCUCAACAGAAUUCUUAAAUUGUACUAAAUUUUUCCCCCAAAUCUUCGCAUCACCCAACCCUACACACAAAAGCAUGAAAAACAAAAAAAAACGAGAUGUUAUUCAUCUUUUCAAUUAACCGUAGUGGUUGUUUAGAGGGGUGAU